rnacentral:sRNA from 1 species
AUCAAAUAAAGACCUCCUAAACUUUAUUUGAUGAAUCCUAAAACUUUUCUUUUUCAUAAUAAUCUCCCUAUAAAAGCUACCGGAUCUGGUGGCUUUUUC